UACGUAGGGCGCAAGCGUUAUCCGGAAUUACUGGGCGUAAAGCGUGCGCAGGCGGUUCUAUAAGACAGAUGUGAAAUCCCCGGGCUCAACCUGGGAAUGGCAUUUGUGACUGUAGAGCUAGAGUACGGUAGAGGGGGAUGGAAUUCCGCGUGUAGCAGUGAAAUGCGUAGAUAUGCGGAGGAACACCGAUGGCGAAGGCAAUCCCCUGGACCUGUACUGACGCUCAUGCACGAAAGCGUGGGGAGCAAACAGG
rnacentral:misc_RNA from 1 species